AAUCAACGCUGGCGGCGUGCCUCAGACAUGCAAGUCGAACGAUUAAAGCUCUCUUCGGAGAGUGCAUAGAGUGGCGCACGGGUGAGUAACACGUAAGUAAUCUACCUUCGAGUGGGGAAUAACGUCCGGAAACGGACGCUAAUACCGCAUAAUGCAGCGGCAUCGCAAGAUGACAGUUGUUAAAGGAGCAAUUCGCUUGAAGAGGAGCUUGCGGCAGAUUAGCUUGUUGGUAAGGUAACGGCUUACCAAGGCUACGAUCUGUAACCGGUCUAAGAGGACGGUCGGUCACACUGACACUGAAUAACGGGUCAGACUCCUACGGGAGGCAGCAGUCGGGAAUUUUGGGUCGAAU
rnacentral:rRNA from 1 species